CUGUUCCCCAGCUAAGCACUGCUGCACAUUGGCAAACAGAUGCUGAAGAACUCUCCUUUUUAUUGAUGGUUUGAUUCAAGAUCCACAUCAGAGAAGAAAAAUAAUAAUCUGUGCAACAUGUUGCACACUGAUUGGUGGAUUACGGGACGGUGAAUUUGAAAGCAAUGCACGUUUAUUCAUAUCGCACAUUCCAGCAACAAAUGCUAUUCAAAGCACUUUACACAAAACACCAAAAUACAAAGAAACUAUAAUAAAAGGGCGUGUGAAUUCAAUUAAAAAGUCAUUUAAGAGGCAAGAGAACGGGAGAUAAAAAACAAUUAAAAUAGACAAAGAUUGAUAUAAACAUGGUAAUAUGUGCAGACAAAGAAAUAACACAACCUUGAUUUAAAAGAGCUGACCUGCAGUUUCCUGGGAGAUUAUGUAUCAUUAAAGCACUAAACAUUGCUUCUUUACAAACAACUUUCUCCUACCUUCAUUGCCACCUUCCUCCUUUCCUAAAAACACGUUCUUGGAUGGCUUGUGAUGGCGCAUUCUGAAGUGUGAGCUUUUGAGAAUGUCACUUGUCCUCAAGGAGAAAAGUGCAGACGGUUUAUAUCGAGAUGAAAAGAAAAGACAAAGAGAAAGUCACUGAAGGAAGAUACUUACACGCCAGUCUACACUGAGCAAUCGAAAUCUGAUUUGUUGGAUGGGACGGAAAAAAAUUACCACCAAUCCUUUUUAAGACACAUGAAUCUGUAUCCUCCCGAAAUGCUCCGUUCCCAAUAUUCCCAGUAACCAGAUGGCCAAGCGUCAUUGCUUUCUUUGAUUUCCUUUGUGUCUUUAAGAGCUUUGUCCUUCAGUGUUCCCCUUUUGCCGAACGCAAAGAACAAAGGUACAUUAAUUCGCUCCCCGAGUCGCAACCCACAACUCCUUGUUAAUUACUGAUUUAUCCGCCAGUCAUUCAGUCAGCCCUCCAGCCACAAGUGGAAGUGGGUGGGAGUUGUGUGUGUGUGUGUGUUUGACAGGCCUUGAUGGAUCCGUCCCUGUAGGGGUUUUUUUGCAGCCGGGGUCUGAGCGACAGCUCUAUUGGCACGUCCAUUAUUUCCAUGGCCGCAUUCGAAAAAGCCAAAGGGGACUGACUGAGAAACCCCAGUUGAAACACUCGAUUUUCUUGACACGCAAUCGGGAUAAGGAGCACAGGGAGCAACGCCGUAGCUGCAGAACUUCCUUCACGUUGUUUCCCGGAGAGGCCUCACGUGACCCUAGAAUCAGGCCCCGUCCAUGCAGCGUCAGUGCCAUUAACGUUGGGUCGUAAAGGUGAUAAAGCGCCGAGUUGGAAAUGGGAUUGUGUGAACUGAUGUACGUCCUGGAGCGGCCUGGAUGGGAGAGAUAUGCGUCUCUACCCGUGACAAUGAUCACAAAAAAUCAUCCCACUAAGUUCUCAUGAAACCUGGUGGAAAGGCGUAUCGU
ensembl:lncRNA